rnacentral:rRNA from 1 species
AUUGAACGCUGGAGGCAGGCCUAACACAUGCAAGUCGAGCGAGGGGCGGACGGGUGAGAAAUGGCUGGGAAUUGACCAGGAGAGGGGGAGAACAGUUGGAAAGGACUGCUAAUACCGCAUACGAAUGGAAUGACCAGGUGGGAUUGGCUAGUGGGGGAGGUAAUGGCUCACCAAGGCGACGAUCCAUAGAUGGUCUGAGCGGAGGAUCAGCCACACUGGAACUGAGACACGGUCCAGACUCCUACGGGAGGCAGCAGUUGGGAAUAUUGCACAAUGGGGGAAACCCUGAUGCAGCCAUGCCGCGUGUGUGAAAAAGGCCUUCGGUUUGUAAAGCACUUUCAUCGAGGAUGCGUUACUCGCACAAGAAGCACCGGCUAACUCCGUGCCAGCAGCCGCGGUAAUAC